GCAAACUUGGUCAUUUAGAGGAAGUAAAAGUCGUAACAAGGUUUCCGUAGGUGAACCUGCGGAAGGAUCAUCACUGAUUCGGGGGUGAGAGGUGAUGGCGUGUGCGCUGAACGUGGCGCACACGCUGCGCCGCUUCCCCAACCCAAUCCUGUGUGCACCGUUUCACGGUUUUUAAGCGAGCGCGCAAGGAAGCGCAAGACAAACCAACCACACCACCACCCCCACCCGCAUGAUGCGCGCGUUGCUGCUGCUACGUCGCGUGCGUGUGGUGUGUGGUGGUGGCGGGUUUCUCUCUGCUGCACGCAUGCUCGCUCUGCUUUACAACACACUAUCUUGUGCAAUCUCUGUCUAACGUAUUAUAUGUGUGCGUGCGUUAUAAUACGCGCACGCCACGCUUUAAACACACAUACAACUUUCAACAAUGGAUCUCUUGGCUCUCGCAUCGAUGAAGAACGCAGC
rnacentral:misc_RNA from 1 species